GUCGCGUGUGUCUGACUCAGUGCGACUUGUCUUGUUUGCGGGCAUCUGAUGAAGGUGAUAGAGAUGAGCUAUGAUUCUGGCAAGUGUGUUUGCGUCUCGUCUGGAUUGCAUGACAGAUGGUGUCGUGUUUGACCAGUAAGGGUAAUGACAGAGAGUUGUGUGUCUAGUCGUGAUGAAAGCGAUUGAGAAUAUUUUGUGCAGAUGGAGUGUAACAGAGAGUUGCAUGGUGACUAGAGUUGUGUGCGUCUAUGUGUCUGAGGUUGCGUCUGGUGGUGACAAAUAGAGACCUGAGAAGGUUUGUGGUGGCC
rnacentral:lncRNA from 1 species